CCUCCCCCGCCCCGUCGCCGGCCCUCCCCCGCCACCCUGUCGCCGGCCCCGUUGCUCCCUGCUGCAGGCGCCGCCGCCGCCAUGUCCAAGUCGGGAGCCCUGGAUCUCGCGUCGGGCCUUGGCGGGAAGAUCGACAAGGAACAAGUCAAAUCCGCGGUCGACGAGUACGUCUCUCUCUCUCCCUCCCUUGCCGUUGGCAUGAUCCAUUCCUGCAAAACUUCUUUUUUUAAGAUCGACAAGAAACUGUGGGGCGCUCGAUGAUGUUUUCUCUUUUUGAAAUAAACAAGACACCUUUCAUGCUCCCUGUGUUCUACAGACUUGGAUACAGUGAGUCAGUCACCUGAUCGGAGAGGGAAUUUCGGUUGGGUUUCAAUCAGGAGAAGGGGGGAUUGGGGAUACAGUUAGCACCUACUCCAGAAUACCGGCUAGAUCUUUUCCUAGUAGUACACCAGAUCCAGGGAGUAUUAUUUGGGGCUUCACAUCAGAAAAGCAUGGUGUUCCUUCUGUGUAUUUUGCCGCAUAGAGAAGGUUGUGGAGGAAAUGUACGUAGGUAUGAAAUCUAUACAAUUUGCAUAUGAUUUCUUGAUGUAUAUCUGGGACUUAAGGCAUGAUUUUGGCUGUUUCUUAGACAUUGAGUUAUAAAUGAAUUCCGGCAUUGUUGUAGAUUUUGUAUCAUAUACCUACAGGUUGUGGUAGAUAAUACGUGAUAAAUGAAGGACUCAUAGACUUCUCCGGUCAAAAGACAAACUGAUGUUGUAUUCCUUCACCCCAUCCAUUUUGAGGCCAUGAAAAUUUAUCUUUUCAAGGCAGACUUGCUCAGUAUAAGGAGGAACCUAAGCAGGGACGACACCUGGGUCGGAUCCGAUGGAUUGGUGUCUGACUGCAGAAUUGCUUAUAGCUAUUUAUAUAUGGAGUUUGCAAGUUUGUUAGAAUUGGUUUUCCUGUCAUCCAACUCCUAUAGAAAAUACAUACAUAUGCAUUACAUAGACGUGUGCUUCAUGUUAUGAAGAUAAAGUAACACUUCAGGUUGAGAAAUCUGUGUUUUUUUUUAAUAUCUAUGCUAAGAUUAUAGGUGCCAUGCUUUUGUACUUUUAGUGAUGUUCUUAUAGUAUAAUGUAAACUCUAGCCGAAUUUAUUAAGCUAUUGCUGACAACAUGUCCGGAGAAAAGACAUGUAUGAGUACGUAGCGGGACAUGCAAAAGCUAGCAAAUACUUGUGGUGUAUAUUGAUUAUAUUUGCAUGAUUGUAGAGGUAGAUAUAGAAUGCUCUAAGAAACAAAGGUACAAAUGACACAUGUAUAUUUAUAUGACAAAUUACUGCACAUUUUUCUACUUGAAAGUGUUGCAGGCCAGUAGCCAAGCUGUCGUUUGCUUCCAGUUACAAUUCUACAACAUCGGGAGUAAUUUAUUCAUAAUGCCUACAGCACAUUAUCAUUAAUUGAACCAAAAUGAUGGUGUUCAUAUGGUACUGGCAUUCAUGUUUUCAUGGAGUCUCCUUGAAGCUAGAGCUAAUCAGUCGAUACCCUUGGUUCCAUCUAGGAAUACUUUUACUCUUUUAUUAACAUUUUAGAAUUUAAAAUUUGAGUGUGAAAAAGGUUAUUUGAGUGUAAAUUUUUAUGCCUGUAGUUAUUUCGUACAAUAAAGUUUGUUAUAUUCCAAAUGUAUUAUAUUUUCAUUAUAUUCCUACAGCAUUAUAGAGUUUCAGUAAAAACUUAAAAUUCUAAUAGUGGUGUAGAUACGGACGUGGAGUAUGUGAGCGCUAGCACACAGACGCCCGGAAUCUACCCCGUCGAGGACAGCCUUGUGAUUCGGAUUAUUAAAAGCAGCUGACAGGACCGUGGCCCACAUGAAAAGAUAAACAUAUUCAUACGACUUGACCUGCGGGUCCAGAUUUUCACGGUCGGCUCAACGCCGACAACGGAGAGGAGCAGAUCCGUGGCUCGGGAUGUUACUGCUGUCCUGAUCCAUGGAUCAGGACGGAUGCUUUCCGGCAAACGCCGGCAACGCGCACAGUAACUGUAGUGCGCGGGGCGGUUACGGGGCUAUUUCCUACCUCCCGUUUGUGGAUCCUCCAUUGUACAAAGAUCUGAUUUUUUUCCUGCUGGCUAAUUGUGCAAGAAGUAGAACUCUGCUAGAGGACGUACGCCGGGAUGGAGCCUCUUCAUUAACCGGCGACGCCGCCGCCGGUGUGCGAGUUGCCGGCCAGGACAGCAUCAAGUGCAGACGGGCAGGUCUGCACAAAGGGCGUUCGUCGAGAAGCAGGAAGUGCAGACAAGGGCCAAGCUUCAAAGCAGUCGAUUGAGCAGGUGGAUCCGAAAACACCUGGGUGGACGCAAAAGUAUGCUCUUAGUCAGUGGCUCAGUACCUUGCCUAUAUGAUUAAAUCUAGAAUAUAGACAUAUAUUCAGGAAAAAAUAAUACUAGAAUCAGAUUUGACUGUAUGGUAAUAGUUCACUGUAUGUACAUAGCCCCUGUCAGUAAAUGAUUUUUUCUACAAACUACUUAGAACCUGAAUAUGCUCUUCGUCAGUGCCUUGCAAUUAUGAUUAAAUCUAGAUUAUAGAGAUACACUCAGUGGAAAAAAAAUAUUAGACUCAGAUUUGACUGUAUGGCCAUAGUUGACUGCAUGUACAUAUCCUUGUCGCGCUAGGCAGAGACCCAUGGAAAAAAAGAUGCAUUCAGUUAGUGAUUUUGUCCAUAAACUACUUAGAACCUGCCUACAUAUGCAAUGACAAAUCCAUAGUCUUGAACUCGUUGUGAUCUGCUGCGACACAUACACCCAUUUUAAUUGUCAAACUAUAAAAUGGGGAUUUGAUUCUGUGGAUAUGUUUUCAUGGCAUUGCAGAGUGCGUGUUGGGGCUGCCGCACUAGGCAGAGCCCCAGGCCCUGAUAGGAUUUCACCACUGGAGAGAGCAAUUCGGUGUUUUGCAGAGGAGCCUGGCGAGAUUGUCAUUGUACCGAAGAUAGGCACGAGUUUUGACACUCUUGGUGAGGCAUAUGAUUUCUACAAUCUGUACUAUUGGGAAAAAGGUUUUGGCAUCAGAUAUGGAAAGAGCAGACUAAAUGUGAACCGAACAAAAUGCAUGUGAGAGAUCGUGUGCGGCUGCGCGGUACCGUUAAUUUGAAGCUCUUCCUGUAGUUAGUUACUUACAUGUCUGAAAUUGGUGUUAGAAAAAUCUGAAUUUUAUUGAUUGAAAUUUUUACAAGGAAAACCAAUAGUUGAGAACACUCGAUCGUGUCGCUGCCAUGGUCACCAGCCUCUGCGUUCUGUCGCGCCUGCAACGUUGAUGAAAGGUGAAGGAGAUGGAAAUUUCAGAGAGGAAAACGUAAAAAUAUUUAGGCAUGACUUUACCACUACAAAAAUGUUCAGUCACUGCCCUCGUGCCAAUUCUUGUGUGCUUUAUCCAUGAAACAGUCCAUGCUUCCCCAAAAUUCAUGCAUUUGAAGCUUCGAACUGAGGCUUAGUUCAUUUAGGGAAAUGAAUUGUAGACGUAUUUUUAAAUUUAUGUUUAGUACUAGAAUUCUGUUUCCAAUUCAAUUUCACAUCAUCAUCUCACUAGAAAUUUCAACAUGCUACGCUUGCUCGUUUAGACUAGACAACCUUAUGAAAGCGUAGAAGAGAUCUUAAGCAGACUGAAACCUAUGGACUAAAACUGGAGCAACAGUUCAAUAGCGUUGGUGGUGUUGUUCUGGAAUUCUUUAUGUCGUGAAAUAGCUAGGAAAAUUGCAUUGGUGUACUGUGUAUAGUAUGGGGUCCUCAAACUGAGAUUAUAUUGUAAGAAAAUGCGCCUUAAGGUUUGCACCGUUGUAUUAAGCCGUUCCUUAUUUCUAUUAGAGGUGUUUUUGCAGAUGUGUUCCUGCUUCUAUCUACUGAUCAAAUGACUUGCUAUUUCAUUGUUUUCUGGCAAUAUAUUAUUAAGUAGUAAUGACUGAUAAGAAUAAGAUAAGCCAGCUGUGAGUGUGAAGUGGCUGAACUGAUGUUUCAAAUUCAUAAUCUUCAUUGCAAGUACAUGAACUGAUGUUUUUCCCGCAUAUUGCUCAAUUUAUACUAUGUCUUUAAUUUACUAGAUGAACUGCACACCUCAACGCAACACUAAUGCAAAGAUUCUGCAUCUUGGUCGGCUGCUCGCGGCGGGGCUUGUGUCUGGUGCUUGCGACAGUGGCAGAGCAGUCCCGCGAGCGUGGCGCAAGUAGUGGCCCCUGCUAUGUGGGCUGAUGCAAGCGCGGCGCAAGCACUUCAAGUCUGACAAUGUCCACUCUACAAGGUACAUAGGCACUCGUGCAAAGAUCUAACAUCUUCAUCGACU
rnacentral:lncRNA from 1 species